rnacentral:rRNA from 1 species
GUGCCAGCAGCCGCGGUAAUACGUAGGGGGCGAGCGUUGUCCGGAUUUACUGGGCGUAAAGCGCGUGUAGGCGGUCGGCCAAGUCCGGGGUGAAAGGCGGGGGCUCAACCCCCGAACUGCGCUGGAAACUGGCUGGCUUGAGUGUCGGAGAGGGGAGUGGAAUUCUCGGUGUAGCGGUGAAAUGCGUAGAGAUCGAGAGGAACACCCGUGGCGAAGGCGGCUCCCUGGCCGAACACUGACGCUGAGACGCGAAAGCGCGGGGAGCGAACGGGAUUAGAAACCCCUGUAGUCC